rfam:Drosophila virilis strain TSC#15010-1051.87 Ctg01_11456, whole genome shotgun sequence.
UAUUAACGACAAUGGAUGUGAUGCCAAUGUUAUUUAUAACAUAGUAAAUUGGGAGGAUCUUCGAUCACCUGAUGCCGCGCUAGUUAUAUUUUAAAACAUUAUUUAAUACAAUGUCAAAGCCUAGAAUCAAUUGUAAACGACUUUUGUAACAGGCAAGGUGUUGUAAGUGGUUGAGCAGCUGCCAUACUGCGAUCCACUGAAGCUUAUCCUUUGCUUGAUGAUUCGA